GUCGAGAAUCUUCCGCAAUGCGCGAAAGCGUGACGGAGCGACACCGCGUGAUGGAUGAAGUCCUUCGGGGCGUAAACAUCUUUUAUAAAGGAGGAAAUUUUUGACGUUACUUUAUGAAUAAGGGGCUCCCAAUCUCGUGCCAGCAGGAGCGGUAAUACGAGAGCCUCAAGCGUUAUCCGGAAUCAUUGGGCGUAAAGGGUGCGUAGGUGGUUUGAUUAGUCUCCCGUUAAAACUUCGAGCUUAACUCGAAAAGAGCGGGGGAAACGGUCAAACUAGAGUAUGUGAGAGGUGUGUGGAACUCAUGGUGUAGGGGUGAAAUCCGUUGAUAUCAUGGGGAACACCAAAAGCGAAGGCAGCACACUUGCACAUCACUGACACUGAGGCACGAAACCUAAGGUAGCGAAUGGGAUUAGAAACCCGAGUAGUCC
rnacentral:rRNA from 1 species